rnacentral:rRNA from 1 species
GUAGCUGGUCUGAGAGGAUGACCAGCCACACUGGAACUGAGACACGGUCCAGACUCCUACGGGAGGCAGCAGUGGGGAAUAUUGGACAAUGGGGGCAACCCUGAUCCAGCAAUGCCGCGUGUGUGAAGAAGGCCUGAGGGUUGUAAAGCACUUUCAGUGGGGAGGAGGAUUGUUUGGUUAAGAGCUGAAUAAUUGGACGUUACCCACAGAAGAAGCACCGGCUAACUCCGUGCCAGCAGCCGCGGUAAUACGGAGGGUGCGAGCGUUAAUCGGAAUUACUGGGCGUAAAGGGUGCGUAGGUGGUUGAAUAAGUUAUCUGUGAAAGCCCCGGGCUUAACCUGGGAAGGUCAGAUAAGACUGUUCGACUCGAGUAURG